ACACAUGCAGUCGAACGAUGAUGCCCAGCUUGCUGGGUUGAUUAGUGGCGAACGGGUGAGUAACACGUGAGUAACCUGCCCCUGACUCUGGGAUAAGCGUUGGAAACGACGUCUAAUACUGGAUAUGAUCGCCGGCCGCAUGGUCUGGUGGUGGAAAGAUUUUUUGGUUGGGGAUGGACUCGCGGCCUAUCAGCUUGUUGGUGAGGUAAUGGCUCACCAAGGCGACGACGGGUAGCCGGCCUGAGAGGGUGACCGGCCACACUGGGACUGAGACACGGCCCAGACUCCUACGGGAGGCAGCAGUGGGGAAUAUUGCACAAUGGGCGAAAGCCUGAUGCAGCAACGCCGCGUGAGGGAUGACGGCCUUCGGGUUGUAAACCUCUUUUAGUAGGGAAGAAGCGAAAGUGACGGUACCUGCAGAAAAAGCACCGGCUAACUACGUGCCAGCAGCCGCGGUAAUACGUAGGGUGCAAGCGUUGUCCGGAAUUAUUGGGCGUAAAGAGCUCGUAGGCGGUUUGUCGCGUCUGCUGUGAAAUCCCGAGGCUCAACCUCGGGCUUGCAGUGGGUACGGGCAGACUAGAGUGCGGUAGGGGAGAUUGGAAUUCCUGGUGUAGCGGUGGAAUGCGCAGAUAUCAGGAGGAACACCGAUGGCGAAGGCAGAUCUCUGGGCCGUAACUGACGCUGA
rnacentral:rRNA from 1 species